GGCCCGUUAGCUCAGUUGGUUAGAGAGCGUCGAGCUAAUAUUUCGAAGGUCGUACAGGGUUCGAUCCCCCCGUCACGGGCCA